rnacentral:rRNA from 1 species
GAUGAACGCUGGCGGUGUGCCUAAUACAUGCAAGUCGAGCGAAUGGAUUAAGAGCUUGCUCUUAUGAAGUUAGCGGCGGACGGGUGAGUAACACGUGGGUAACCUGCCCAUAAGACUGGGAUAACUCCGGGAAACCGGGGCUAAUACCGGAUAAUAUUUUGAACUGCAUGGUUCAAAAUUGAAAGGCGGCUUCGGCUGUCACUUAUGGAUGGACCCGCGUCGCAUUAGCUAGUUGGUGAGGUAACGGCUCACCAAGGCAACGAUGCGUAGCCUACCUGAGAGGGGGAUCGGCCACACUGGGACUGAGACAUGGCCCAGACGCCUACGGGAGGCAGCAGUAGGGAAUCUUCCGAAAGGGACGAAAGUCUGACGGAGCAACGCCGCGUGAGUGAUGAAGGCUUUCGGGUCGUAAAACUCUGUUGUUAGGGAAGAACAAGUGCUAGUUGAAUAAGCUGACACCUUGACGGUACCUAACCAGAAAGCCACGGCUAACUACGUGCCAGCAGCCGCCGUAA